GGUGGAGCUAAUCUCAUAAAACCGUUCUCAGUUCGGAUUGUAGGCUGCAACUCGCCUACAUGAAGCUGGAAUCGCUAGUAAUCGCGGAUCAGCAUGCCGCGGUGAAUACGUUCCCGGGCCUUGUACACACCGCCCGUCACACCACGAGAGUUUGUAACACCCGAAGUCGGUGGGGUAACCUUUUUGGAGCCAGCCGCCUAAGGUGGGACAGAUGAUUGGGGUGAAGUCGUAACAAGGUAGCCGUAUCGGAAGGUGCGGUUGGAU
rnacentral:rRNA from 1 species